rnacentral:rRNA from 1 species
AAGAUGGAUUUAUGAGUAAUUUGAUUUUAGAGGGGUUGGAUGAAUUUGGAAUAACAUGUGUACAUAUUGCCCGUCGCUCUCUAGGUUAAGUGGAGAUAAGUCGUAACAUAGUUGAUAUAUCGGAAGGUGUGUCUUUGAGAGAG